rnacentral:lncRNA from 1 species
CUGACAUUGAUUGCAUUGCCACCAAUUACAGAGGAAAAUACAAAGUGAUGGUAGGUAAGGGUAAGGAUACAAAGAAGGGUGGGACACAAGGCUAUUAGGAGUUCUCAGAGGCACGUGCAGCACAUUGGAGGUCUAUGAUGGGGCUGCCGGUUCAGGCUUGACCAGUGACUGGUCAUCCGGUUGCUGAGUAGGAUAGAUCAGGGCAGCUAGUGAUAUGGGCAUGAUGCAGAGUGAUUUAGACUGAAGGUAUUGCAUGGCAGCACCAACAUCUUCCUCCAUGAGCUUAGCAACCUCUCGUUCUGUGUCGG